CGGGGGGGGGGCAAGCGUUGUUCGGAAUUACUGGGGCGUAAAGGGGCGCGCAGGCGGCCUGGCAAGUCCUACGUGAAAUCCCACAGCUCAACUGUGGAACUGCGUGGGAUACUGCCAGGCUUGAGUCCGGGAGAGGAGAGUGGAAUUCCCAGUGUAGCGGUGAAAUGCGUAGAUAUUGGGAGGAACACCGGUGGCGAAGGCGGCUCUCUGGACCGGUACUGACGCUGAGGCGCGAAAGCUAGGGGAGCAAACGGGAUUAGACACCCCGGUAGUCCUAGCCGUAAACUUUGAGCACUUUGUGUGGCGGGUAUCGACCCCUGCCGUGCAGAAGCUAACGCAUUAAGUGCUCCGCCUGGGGAGUACGGUCGCAAAGGCUG
rnacentral:rRNA from 1 species